AUUGAACGCUGGCGGCAUGCCUUACACAUGCAAGUUGAACGGCAGCAUGGAGAGCUUGCUCUCUGAUGGCGAGUGGCGAACGGGUGAGUAAUGCAUCGGAACGUACCGUGUAAUGGGGGAUAACGUAGCGAAAGUUACGCUAAUACCGCAUACGACCUGAGGGUGAAAGCAGGGGAUCGCAAGACCUUGCGUUAUACGAGCGGCCGAUGUCAGAUUAGCUGUUGGUGAGGUAAAGGCGCACCAAGGCGACGAUCUGUAGCGGGUCUGAGAGGAGGAGCCGCCACAAUGGGACUGAGGCACGGCCCAGACUCCUACGGGAGGCAGCAGUGGGGAAUUUUGGACAAUGGGGGCAACCCUGAUUCAGCCAUGACGCGUGAGUGAAGAAGGCCUUCGGGUUGUAAAGCUCUUUCGGCCGGGAAGAAAUCGCACAGGCUAAUACUCUGUGUGGAUGACGGUACCGGCAUAAGAAGCACCGGCUAACUACGUGCCAGCAGCCGCGGUAA
rnacentral:rRNA from 1 species